rnacentral:rRNA from 1 species
UACGUAGGGUCCGAGCGUUGUCCGGAAUUACUGGGCGUAAAGAGCUCGUAGGUGGUUUGUCGCGUUGUUCGUGAAAACUCACAGCUCAACUGUGGGCGUGCGGGCGAUACGGGCAGACUGGAGUACUGCAGGGGAGACUGGAAUUCCUGGUGUAGCGGUGGAAUGCGUAGAUAUCAAGUGGAACACCAGUGGCGAAGGCGAAUCCCUGGAAAAUACCUGACACUGAGGCACGAAAGCGUGGGGAGCAAACAGG